CAUCGUCCCUUUGUUGGAAAUAU
rnacentral:snRNA from 1 species